rnacentral:rRNA from 1 species
CGAGUUCCUCGCUAAUGUUCGGAUUGUUUACCAAUGAUGCAAGUAAUUUAGUCAGAGUAACAAAGUAACGACUAGUUGUUUAAGUUAAAAGGUAGAUUUAAUAUUCCGGAUAUGAGCGAGGAAUGUCGGCGAGCGGCGGACGGCUGAGUAGCGCGUAGGAACAUACCCCAAAGUGAGGCAUAACCGCCCGAAAGGGUGGCUAAUACCGCAUAUUGUCUUCGGAUGAAAGCUUUUAGCGCUUUGGGAAUGGCCUGCGUUUGAUUAGCUAGUUGGUGAGGUAAGGGCUUACCAAGGCGAUGAUCAAUAGCUGGUUUGAGAGAAUGAUCAGCCAGACUGGAACUGAGACACGGUCCAGACUCCUACGGGAGGCAGCAGUUGGGAAUUUUCCACAAUGGGCGAAAGCCUGAUGGAGCAACGCCGCGUGCAGGAAGAAUGCCUUCGGGUUGUAAACUGCUUUUAUGUGCGAAGAAUAUGACGGUAGCAUAUGAAUAAGGGUCGGCUAACUACGUG